UAUAAUUCACUCUUUUAUUCAUGAUUGAGGAAAAAUUUACAAGAGAAAGACCAUAUUUGUAUAUAUAUAAUAGAAACUUGUAAACCAAUACCAUAAAGGUUCCAAGAGAACCUUGUACAUCUAUAGCAAACCAAUACCAUAAGAACCUUAUACAUCUAUUGCAAACCAAUACCAUAAAGGUUUCAAGAGAACCUUGUACAUCUAUAGUCUUAUAUAUGAUUUUGAUAUAUAGUAUAGAUAAUUAUAUCAAACUUAUAUUUGAGUAUCAUCUACGCUUGUUACCAUCAUCCAUGCUUUUUUGAAAUGUUGAUAUGUAAACCAUUUCCAAAUGUCAAAACUGGAGAUCGAGCUAUCUGUCCUUCCUUGAUCUUCGUCAACCUUUCCAAUUUGAGAUUCUAAGCAGUCAAUUUCAUUCUAUUCAUGUCAUGCAUGGAAUAUAUGUAUCAAAUUAAAAUGAAAAUAUUACCUGUAAUUAGUGACCAAAACAUGGAAAAAUGUUGUCAUUAGAACCUUAGCAAACUCUGCUCCUAUGCAUAAUCUUGAUCCACCUCCAAAUGGUAUGAAAUUCUUUGCUACAACACCAACUCCCAUAUCCUUUUGAAAAGGAAAACAAAAUAAAUAAAUAUUAUCAUUGUCGUAUUUUAGAUAUUAUCUGAUUUUACCAAAUUCACUUUACAACUUUAAAAGGUAUUGUGCACAUUUUAAAAUUCUUUUCACAUCCUAAGCAAUUUCAGAUUCUACACAAAGCUAAGGCGGUGUUUUGAUGCAUCUUCUAUUUUUUUACAAGUAAAAAAAUAAUAAGAACUCUAUACAAAUGGUAGAAACUUGCUUUAAAAAUUAUAUAUAUAUAUAUAUAUAUAUAUAACUAUUUAAAAGCUACCUCAAACUUUAGAAAAAUUUGCUAAAUAAAAUUAUUUUUGGUUUCUAAAAUCAGAAAACUAGAAAUGCAUCCAAAUGACACCUAAACACUUCAUUAAAUUUGUAUAUAUCAUAUACCUUCCAUCGUUUUGGUUUGAAAGCAAGGGAACGUCCCCACAGAUCGAAAAUGAUAUAUUAAGAAAAAAUUAGUAUAUACCUUCCACCGCCAUGGAUUGAAAGUAAGGGGAUCAACAAAAGUAUCAGGGUUUAGUUGAAGAGCUGCAGGAACAACCAUGAUUGUCCAGCCUGCUGGAAUUGUAUAUCCUGCACAUUUUAUAGGAUCCAUUUAAUUCAAAUGCAUGCAUAUGCUUGGUAAAAAUCAUAUAAUAUACAACUUUAAAUCCAUAAAAUUUCAUAUUUACACUUACCAUUUACUUGAAUGUCUUUUAUUGCCCUUCUCAAAAUCCCUGGAGCAACACUUCCUAACCUAAGAACUUCAUUGAUAACCUAUAUUUUCACUUGGUCAAAUAGUUUGCACAAAUUUAUAUUAGCUUAUGCGUAUGGGUACUAAAAAAUUAUCAACUUACUUGAUGAGUAAAAGUCAUUGACUUAUAUUCCUUCCAUGAAAUUCCAGAAUUUGGAUCUUCCCUAUUUUUAAGGAUUGCCUCAUGCUCCUCCUGCAAUAUAUAUAAUUAAAUAAAAGGUUUGAGUCCACUAGGGUCAUCGAUGAAAACAUGAUAACAGAAAGAUUGAAAGAUUGUUAAAUAAUUAUCACUUACAAUUAGUUGUUGCAUUACUAAGGGGUGUUCUAUGAGUAACUUAAUAGCUAAGGUUAAAGUAGAGGAAAUUGUCUCAAAACUAGCAAAUAGAAUCCCGAACAUAACGAAAACGACAAAGUCAUCCGAUAGGAACUUUUCUUUCUUCAUAUCAUCAAUCAUCUGAUCAAGAAAAUCCCCUUGAAGAGUUUUAGGCGAAGCUUUUUUCUCUUUUAAUGCAUCAUGAAUCAACUUCAUUAUCUCCUUUUGGUCCUGAAAUGUAAUUUAUAUGAAAUUAAUUAAACUAAAUAUACAAAAAAAAAUUAUAAAUUUAAAAGUUUUAAAGUACAAUAAAAAAGAGUUUUAGAAUUACCUUUAGACAUUUAUGGAAAGUUGUACCCGGGAUAUUCAAAGGAAAUGACAUAAGAACAUGUAUGAUGUUGGUAAAUUUUUCACUAAAAUGUGCUCCCUUCGUCUCGAAGUCAUAACCAAACAAUAUGGUUGCAGUAAAAUCAAAUAUCAUCUGUGUAAGAACCAUCAAUCAAGUAAAUAUUAAAAAAAAAAAAUCAACUUUUUUUUAUCAUAAAGUUUAUUAUUAUUGAUCUUUUUUGCUCAAUUAACUAGGUUUAUAUUAUCACAUAAUCUUGUUAAUAACCUCAAUGAAUAUUUAAUAUGAACAAUCUAUUUUAAUAUAAAAUAAUGCUAUUUUUUCAUUAUUUUUAAUUAUUUAAAUUAUAAGUGAUAAUUAGAUAUGUUAAAAAAAUAGUUCAUAUAUAUUAAAUACAAAAGUUUUGACGUUCUAUUAUCACUUGCCACUUUUUCUAUCCUCUUAUUAAGGCGAGAGGUUAUAAAAGAGGGAAAAGUGGGUUUUUCCCACUUUAUAACAAGAAGGGAGAUCAGACAAGGGGUUGAAUUAAAGCUUGAUAAAUUACCGAUGAAACGCAUGAUUUGAAUUCCAAGGCAGGCAACUUGGACCAAUCAUGUAGCCUUGUACGUAUCAUAUCUUCAGCCUUGGCAAGGAGUCUGCCUUUCAGGGCCUCGGUACCAAAAUGAGCCAACGCCAAGUUCCUAAGAUACUUGUGAACAUAACCAGUUGCAGCAAUAGACUGUGAAGUAUCCAGGCCGACAAGCUUUGCAAUGGAGUCCAUGUACCAUAACUCCACCAACUUCCCUUCUUGUUGGAAUAUAUAGUAGUUGAAGUCUGGGUCCGAUGACACCACCACCGGUCGUCCUGCCAAAUUUGUACAGAACAAUGGACCGUAUCUAAAACACAUAAAACAAAGAAAGAAAUAAUAAAUUUUGUUAAUAACCAGUACCAACAGUAUACUGUAGGUUUCAAAACAAAUUAAUCUUAAUCAUAUGAUUUGUAUACUUGCUUACUUUUUCAUCCUCUUCUUGAUGAAACUCGAAACGUCCAACGACUUGCUUGGGAUGAAAAACUGGAUGGUCUCUCCAAUGAUUGGGAAUCCCAUUGAACCUGGAGGGAGUUUGCCAUUGCAUUUAGGAUUCCUCCAUUUGUAAACCCAGUGAGUUAUGCUUGCUAUAAACAAGCUUACAACACAGAGCCAAACAGACCAGUACAUGAUCUUAAUUAAGCUUACUAAAAGUGGAAUAGAAAGUACGUAAAAAACUAAGUUUAUAUAGGAAAAGUGGAUGGGACCUGUGAUUGUCACUGACUCACAGAAGUAGGAGCAUUUCUCUACCGAAUGAUUCAAAUGUUAUUUAUUAUCAGUCGAAGUGUUAGGAGAGGAUUGCUACUCACCAUGACUUUGAAUAAAUGAAUGUUUUGACUGUCAUAGAAGAAGAUAAUGACAUCUUAUUGUCUGAAGAUCACUUAUCCAUCUCCGUGCAUAUUAAGUAAUAGAUAGUGCCAUUUUAAUAAAUUCUUUGAAUUCUGGGUGAGACUCGAUUGUGAAUGGAAAGUCCAUUAAAAUCUUGAGACUAUCAAGCAUCACACCCCAAAUUAGAUUAGGACGGUGUUUUUUCUUUUAUUGAAUAGAAAAAGUCAUCCGCUAAAAGUAACAUUUUGAUAUCAUCCAAUAUAACUAAAUUGAACCUAUUGAUAAUAAAUUUACUUUAAUUAUAUUGAUUGAUAUCAAUAUAUUACUUUUAACUUAAUAAAAAAGCCAAAAUAUAAACAUCAUGCACUUACAUCCCAAGCUUUAGGUCAAUGAUAAGUCACUCAAAACAAAUUUUCUAAAGACUUGUUUUGAAUUAUUUUUUGUUUUUCAGAGUAAAUUGUCAUAAUUUUUUGAAAGUUUUUACAAGAAGAGGUGUUUUUCGAUUUUUUUUAAUUAAAUUCUUUGUUAAAUCAUAAAAUUAUUUCAACAAAUUAUAAAGAAAUCAUUAUUGAGAAUGUGUCUUAAGGUCCAUUGCAAAUUAUUUCUAAGAAUAUUUUUUUUCUCCUAAAAUAAACAGGAAAACAUGUUUGUUAAUUAGAAGAUAGUAAACAAUUUUUAUUCUUAAAAAUAAAAAAUAGAGUAUUUUUAAAUAACAUCUCUUGGUUAUUUUUACUUAUUUUCUUAAAGUUGUUUUAAUUAAUAAUUAUACAAAUAUGAAAAAUGAUUAAGAAUAAAACAUUACAUAUAAAAAUUAUUUUUAAAACAUAUUUAAAAACAUUUUAAAUUGUUAAACAAAUUUUUAUUUUACAAAACAUUAUAAAAUAAUUUUUAAAACUAUUUUCGAAAACGGUUACCAAACAUAGCAUAAUCUUUUCCUUUGCUUUCUUUGUUGCAUGGUGGUGGAUGAGGCAAGAACUUCUCACGCAAGUAAAUUGGCCAUUUGAGAAAAAAUAAUAAAAAUAAUAAAAAAAUCUCGUGAGUGUUUAUGUGAGCUCCCAUAUCAUAAAAGAGCCAAGGAAAUUUUCAUAGAGGAACAAAUUGUUGUGUAUUUUUUCAAUACGUUACAAUAUGUACACAGAGAAUCAGAUAGAAGUCAAAGGAAAUGAAUAUGAAAAUGUUACUAAUGGGGAUAUUGUACUUUAACCGGAGCAUCUGGAAUUAGGGGAUUUGAUGGAUUUGAUUUCACUUGAAUGAGUGAAUCAUGAGAUGGCAUUGACUAGGUUGGGAGUCUGGGACCAUUUGUUGCUGUCUCUGAUGCUUAAAGUCUAGCUCUAAUAUUCAAACCUUUUACCCAUUCUUUGUUUGCUUAUCUUUUCAUCACAUGAUGAAUAUUUAAGCAAAGUAGAAAAUCACACAUGUAAUUGUCCACCACACAUUUCCACUAGUUUUAACGUCAAUAGUAAUUAGAAGGAGAAAAAAAUGGUAUGGCUUUUGAUCUAAUUUGGCUUUUCUAGAGGAUGUUGACCAUACAUAAAUAUUUUUUUGGGCAUUCUCCUGCACUUCAAUGCUAAGAAGAUUAUAAUAAUUAAAAAUGUCACAUACUUAUCCCUAUAAAGAAAUCUUUCAUUUUAAUUUGUCAUAAAAGACCAUUGUGACAUUUCAACUGUAUGAUCAUAUCCUCGCAACAAUUCAUAUCAUUUAUUAUUCUAUCAAUAUUCAUAAUAAUGAUGGAUGUAUAUUUGACUUGUUGACAUAAAGCCUAACAUAAGUCUAUCCAAAAAUUUCAUGCCUAAUCUAAUCUUAGCUUGAAUCAACCUACAAGUUGAUCCUAGAUUGGCACAAGAACUAAAACUCAAGAGAAAUCCAUAAAUAUUAUACAUGAAAUGAGAUUUGAACCAUUGGAAAAAAUGAAAAUUUGUCAUUCUAUUCAUCAAAACAACUCUUGCAAAAUUUUCAUUGGUAAAUGUAACUAUAGUUAACAUAUGAUUGAGGUUAGGCUUAUUAAAUCACUGGCACACCCUAAAGGCGUAACUAGGCUUACUUAGAGAAGGUUUGACCCUAACUCGAACUUUCAUCAAGAGGGUUCAAGCAUGAACCACUUCUACCAUUUGCUUGGCUAAUGACAAUAUUAGUUUAAUAAUAGUAUCAUCCUUUAUUUCAUUUUAUUGAUUAUUUUAUAUUAUAUUAAUCUCAACUUUUAAGAUAUUUUCUCUUUGAUUGUUCACAUUCAUGAUUUUUUCCCCCUCCUAACCUAAAAUAUUUAUAGACAUUCCUGAGAACUUUCUUUAUUAUAUAAAAAAAUCUAAUAUUACAAUAAUAUAUUAACUCAGGAAAUAUUAUAUACAAUAUUCUUUACAAAAAAAAUCUUUACUAAUUAGUAAUUAUUUAUGAUUAAGCUAUCUAUAUAUAUUCAAUUUAUAUUUAUUAAGUAUGGGUCACCUUGUGUGUAGAGCCCAAGUCCCAUGUGUCUUACAUGAUGGGCCUAAGACACAUGUGGCUCAAUAGCCCAAUGGGUAUGGCCCUUAAGGCAUAGAGGAAGUUAAUAAAAAAUAAAUAAAUAAACUGAAGUUUGGUGUCUUUUUAGUUUUCCUUUUGAAAAUACAAAAAUGUUCCCUCUCUUGUCUCCUAUCACAAGAGAGAAAACAGAAAGGUGGUUUCCUCCUCUAUUGCCUUAGAAUAACCAUAUUUCUUCAAGAUCAACAAUGGAUUCAGGUUUGUCUAAUUUCUCUAAUCUAAUCGGCAUGUUUUCUUUUUUAUUUAACAUGAGAUUUCUAGUUUUUGGUUGAUAAAAUAUUUGGUAAUCUUUAAAAAAUGUUCUACAACAAGUGGUAUCCAAGCCACACAUAUUGAAUCAUUAAGAAAUGCACACUAAUUCAAAGUUAUAUGAAAUUUCUCCCAUAUGGCAUAUUAGGGCAAGAAAUUUCUUGACAGAAUUUGGGAAUUUUUCUAGGUUGGGUUCAUUUUCUGAAUCUAAAAAUAAAAAUAAAAUAAAAUUUAAUCAACUAGUGGAGGAACUUGCCAAGGUUUGCGAAUGCCGCCGACUCAUCCUUCUCGUUUUCUACCAAGUGGACCCUUCGGACGUUCGGCAACAGAAAAGACGUUUCCACGAAGAUUUUGGAAACCUGGAGGCAAGAUUUGGAGCAAACAAGGUUUUGAGAUAAAAUAGCUAUGGAAAAGGCCGACGGAAUCGUUGGUUGGGUUUUCAAUGGGUGACCCUUUGUUUUUUUUUUUUUUUUGUUUGCGUUUCACACCAUUUGUCUUCAAUUGGAUCAUGAGACUUUGCGGGAGAAACCGGGAAGAAAUUUAUUUACUUUUAUUUAUCUAAAUUGAUCCAUGGUCUGGGAAGAUAGAUACUUGUUAUGGGUUUCUCAUUUAGGUUUGGUGAAAAACACUAGUAUUUGAGUUAUGGAUUCAUUUUUAGAGAGAGAAACCAUAGUAAAACUCCAGUCCUGGUCUUUCAAUUCAGUUUUUUUUUUUUUAGAAACUCUGCCAAAAUUUGGUCAGAUUCAGUUAAGAGAGAAACCCGACUGAAACCAUAAUUCAGGUUAUUCGCAUAGAGUUUAAAUAAUAAUUGUUAUCAAAGUGACUUCAGUGUAGUUUUUUAAUAUUAAAUAAUGGAUUUAGUCUUUUCUUGCUACAUUUGUGUUUAAUAUUUUAAAAUAAAUGAGUUAUGUAUAUUUGUUGCCAAAGUAACUUAUAUUAUGUAAUUUUAUUUAUUUUGAAAUAUGUAAACAUGUUAUUAUUGUGUAAAAUAAUCGGCUCAAAGGAAUAUUAUUUUAAUAUAAUAAUAAAUAAAGUAGUCAUAAAUGUGUGACUUAUAAAGUCUACCUUGCAUGCUAUAUGUUAGUCCAAAGAAAGGCAUAUUGCUUCAGUUUUAUUGUCAAUAUUUAUGAACUAAUUUUGUAAAAGAAUAUCAAUUAUAAGUUAAUAUUUUUGUCCAAAGACUAAAUAUUAAUAUUUGUGCUAGGUAUCUUGUUAUGGGCCCACAUGCAUGUAUAUAUACGUUAAAAUUUUUGUGACUAAUUAUGAGCUUUAUUGUUAUUGUUCAGCAUCUUCUAUAUCUGCUAAUGUUAAUAACAUUCCUGUGCUUAAUGGUACAAACUUCAAGAAAUGGAAGGAACGCGUUAUGAUUGUGCUCGGGUGCAUGGAUUUGGACUAUGCAUUAAGGGAGGAUCGCCUUGCAAACCUUACUAAUGCCAGCACUGCUAAGCAAAGCGCUACUGUGGAAAAAUGGGAGCGAUCAAAUCGCAUGAGUCUAAUGAUAAUGAAGCACUCAAUUCCAGAAGCAAUAAAUGGUGCAAUACCUGAAAAGUCUCGAGCCAAGACAUUCUUGGACCAGAUAGCAAACUGAUUCACUGCAAAUGAAAAGGUCGAGACAAGCACUAUUUUUAGUAAGCUUGUUUCCAUGCGGUGUAAAGGGAAAGAGAAGAUAAAGGAGUACAUAAUGGAAAUGUCCAAUCUUGUGACUAGACUUAAGGCACUAAAGUUAGAGUUAUCAGAAGACAUACUCGUGCACUUGGUCUUGAUCUCUCUACCUACACAAUUUAGUCCAUUCAAGAUUAGUUACAACACACAAAAGGAAAAAUGGACUCUAGAUGAGCUUAUUUCUCAGUUGUGCAAGAGGAGAAUAGACUGAAACAAGAGAAGAUAGAAAGUGCUCACUUGGCUUCCACAUCUCAGGGACAUGGUACCAACAUGAAAAGAAAAAUGGACAAUAAGGGAAAACAAACUGUAUAUUCUAGAACAUCUGAGCAAAAGGUGCAGAAGAAACAAAAUAAGAAGAUUACUUGUUUCUUUUGCAAGAAGGUUGGUCAUAUGAAGAAGGCUUGUACCAAAUACGCCGUUUGGCGUGAAAAGAAAUGUACACUUCUUAACUUUGUUUGUUCAUAAAUUAAUUUAGCUAUAGUGCCUAUUGACACUUGGUGGAUAGAUACGGGUGCAACUACUCACAUAAGUGUCACGAUGCAGGCUUUCCUAAGGAGUCGAAUGCUAACUAAUGGUGAAAGAUACAUCUAUGUGGGAAAUGGCAAAAAGGCUACAAUGAAGGCUAUUGGUCUUUUUAGAUUAUAGUUAGAUUAUGGUUGUACUUUGGAUUUAGAAGAGACUUUUGUGGUACCAUCAUUUAGACAAAAUUCAAUUUCUAUUUCGUGUUUGGAUAAAUAUGGAUAUUUUUGUUCAUUUGAAAAUGGAAUGGUUAGUCUUUAUCUAAAUUCAAGUGUUAUUGGUACCGGUAGUCUAAUAGAUAAGUUAUACAAAUUGAACAUAAAGGCCUCUAAUGGUAAUGAAACCUUGCAUUCAAGUAAUUAUGACAUUAAGUGAAAGUUAACAAAUGAGAAUUCAUCAAUGUUAUGGCACAGGCGUUUAGGUCAUAUUUCAAAUCAAUGUAUUCAAAGACUUGUGUCAGAAGAAAUUCUUGAUCCACUUGAUUUGUCCUACUUUCAAGUCUGUAUAGAGUGUAUUAAGGGUAAACAAACAAAUUUGAGGAAAAAUGAUGCCAACAGGUGUGGUGACGUCUUAGAAUUGAUACAUACAAACAUUUGUGGUCCAUUUCCUACCCCUUCUUGGAAUGGACAACAAUAUUUUAUCACUUUCAUUGAUGAUUACUCACAUUAUGGCUAUCUUUAUUUGAUUCAUGAAAAGUCUCAAUCAUUGGAUGUGUUCAAGAAUUUUAAAACCGAAAUUGAGAACCAACUAGGCAAGAAAAUAAAGGUCGUUAAAUCUAAGCGUGGGGGUGAAUAUUAUGGUAGAUAUGACAAAUCUAGUGAACAACGUCCAGGGUCAUUCGCCAAAUAUUUGAUGGAGUAUGGUAUCAUCCCUUAGUACACCAUGCGGGGAGCUCCAAGCCAAAAUGGUGUAGCAGAAAGGUGAAAUUGUACUCUUAUGGAUAUGGUAAGGAGUAUGAUCAGUAAUUCCACCUUGCCAGAAUCACUUUGGAGCGAAGCUGUCAAAAUUGCAGUUUACAUUUUGAACAGAGUCCCAAGCAAAGCAAUAGCCAAAACCCCAUAUGAGUUAUGAACUAGCAAGAAGCCUAGUAUUAGGUAUUUGCAUGUCUGGGGUUAUCUAGCUGAGGCUAGGCCUUACAAGCCAAAUGAGAAAAAAAUUGGACUCUAGAACUGUGAGCUGCUACUUUGUAAGGUAUUCUGAAAGGUCAAGAGGUUUCAAGUUUUAUGAUCCCUCAAUUAGGUCUUUCUUUGAAACGAGCAAUGCUAAGUUUAUUGAGGAUGUUGAGUUAAGUGGGAGAGAGCCAUUAAGAAAGGUGGUCUUUGAAGAGGAGUCUAUUAGUAUUUCUAUUAUUGCAACUAGACAUGGUCAUAUUAUAUUUGAUGACACUAUCCAGAAUGUACAACCAAUAACAGAGACUAUAAACACACUUGAAAUUCCUCCUACUCAAGUUGAGGAACCAAUUCAAGUUCAUGAAGAGGUAACUCAACAACCUCAAGUACAAGUGCCAUUGAAAAGAUCCACUAGAGAAAGGAAAAGUACAAUUUUAGAUGAUUAUAUUGUAUAUCUCCAAGAACAUGAGUUGUGAAAUGGGUCUGGAAUAUGAUCCAAUUUCAGUUAGUCAAGUCAAACAAAGUUCUAAUUCUGAAAAGUGGAUAGAAGCCAUGAAGGAUGAGAUGAAAUCAAUGAAAGACAAUGGUGUUUAGGACCUAAUAUAGUUGCUUAAAGGUGUAAAACUAAUUGAUUACAAAUGGAUUUUUAAGACCAAGCGGGAUUCAAAAGGCAACAUUGUAAGGUAUAAGGCACGCAUAGUCGCAAAAGGUUUUACUCAAAAGGAAUGCAUUGAUUAUAAGGAGACCUUUUCACCGGUUUCAUCAAAUGACUCUUUUAGAAUCAUCAUGGCACUUGUGGCUCAUUAUGAUUUAGAGCUACAUCAAAUAGACGUUAAAACUGUGUUUCUUAAUGGUAACAUUGAUGAGACAAUAUACAUGGUGCAACUGGAGAACCUUGAGUUUAAUUAUUCAAAGCAACUUGUAUGCAAAUUAAAAAGGUCCAUAUAUGGUUUAAAAUAGGCAUCCUGACAAUGGUACCGAAAGUUUGAUCAGGUGAUUACUUCAUUUGGUUUUAAGGAGAACACCGUUGAUCAAUGCAUAUAUCUCAAGUUCAGUGAAAGCAAAUUCAUGAUCUUGGUGCUAUAUGUAGAUGAUAUUCUACUUGCAAGUAGUGAUGUGGAACUUUUGCAUGAAACCAUUUAUAUCCCGUAAAUUUGAAAUGAAGGAUCUUAGUAAUGCAUAUUUUAUGUUGGGCAUAUAGAUCUAUAGGGAUUGUUCAAGAGGUAUACUUGGGCUAUCACAAAAGUCCUACAUCGAUAAGGUGCUAAGUAGGUUUGGCAUGAGCAAUUGUGCACCAGGAGACACACCUAUGGCAAAAGGUGAUAAAUUUAGUUUGCACCAAUGUCCGAGAAAUGAACUUGAGAUGAAGGAUAUGGAGAGGUUUCCCUAUGCCUCGGCAAUAGGAAGCCUCAUGUAUGCACAAGUUUGUACGCGCCUAGAUAUUGCGUACAUUGUUGGAAUAUUGGGCAAAUAUUUGAGUAACCCAGGUAUGGAUCACUGGAAAAAAGCAAAACGGGUUAUGAGGUAUUUACAGAGAACUAAAGCUCACGUAUCGAAGAUCCAGUCAACUAGAGAUCGUGGGAUAUUCGAACUCCGAUUUCGCGGAAUGUCUUGACAAUAGGAGAUAUAAUUCAUGCUACGUUUUCAUGUUGGCUGGAGGAACAGUUUCAUGGAAAAGUGUUAAACAAACACCUAUUGCUUCUUCCACUAUGGAGGUGGAAUUCAUAGCCUGCUAUGAGGCAUCAAACCAUGGGAUAUGGCUACGGAAUUUUAUUACUGAGUUGUGUAUUGUUGAUGGGAUUGAAAAACCAUUGAGAAUCAAUUGUGAUAAUAAGGCCGUAGAAUUGUAUUCUAAGAACAACCGAAGUUCAUCAAAGUCCAAACACAUUAACAUCAAGUUCUUGGUUGUGAAAGAAAAAGUUUAGAGUCUUCAAGUAUCAAUUGACAACAUAAGCACAAACUCCAUGAUUGCGGAUCCACUCACUAAGGGUUUGCCACCCAAAGUAUUUCAUGAGCAUGUCACACGUAUGGGUGUUGUACAUAUUAAUGAUAUGCCAAUAUAAUGGGAGUUUGUAUUUGGGUUUUGUGUUUGUUUUCUUGAUGUAUUGUUAUGUUUGUGUUAUAUGUACAAACUUUAGUUUUAAAGACUAUUGUGUUUGAAUACUCUGAAUUGAAAUGAUGACUUUCAAAAACAGUUUAGAAUUAAGUGUUGAAAGUGGAAUUUGACUAUUUUUAGUCAUAAAGUAGAACCAACUGGAAAUAAACAUAUUAAAUAUCACAUUUUAUGUAAUUUCCAUGCUACACAUCCAUACUUGAUCCAUGUUGCUAAUUUUGUUAAUGUUGUGAUCAUUGAUGGGUCUAGUUAUAGUUAUGAUUAAUGAAUGCCAUUUUGAUCAUGUGUUAGCAUAAUUAGUAGAUCAGAUUGUUGAAGGAUAUUUGGAUAGGAUAGCAAAGAUGAGCUCAAUAAAGUAUUAUCAUGAACAUUAUUCAGUAAAUAUAUGUGGUCCAAGUGAGAGAUUGUUAAAAUAAUUAUGGACUCACAUAUAUUAAUAAUUGUUUAUGAUUAAACUAUCUAUAUAUAUAUUCAAUUUAUAUUUAUUAAGUAUGGGUCACCUUGUGUGUAGAGCCCAAGUCACAUGUGUCUUACAUGAUGGGCCUAAGACACAUGUGGCCCAACAACCCAAUGGGUAUGGUCCUUAAGGCAUAGAGGAAGUUAAUAAAAAAUAAAUAAAUAAACUGAAGUUUGGUGUCUUUUUAGUUUUCUUUUCUGAAAAAUACAAAAAUGUUCCCUCUCAUGUCUCCCAUCACAAGAGAGAAAAUAGAAAGGUGGUUUCCUCAUCUAUUGCCUUAGAAGAACCAUAUUUCUUCAAGAUCAACAAUGGAUUCAGGUUUGUCUACAUUCUCUAAUCUAAUCGGCAUGUUUUCUUUUUUAUUUAACAUGAGAUUUAUGGUUUUAGGUUGAUAAAAUAUUUGGUAAUCUUUAAAAAAUGUUCUACAACAACUAUAGCCUAAGCAUAUUUUCUCUGCAAAAGUUUAUUUGGUCCUUUACAAGGUUGGGAGAUUUGGAAUCGGCUUAUGCAACCUUGCAACAUAUGGUGACUUUGGUUUUCAAUGGAAGCGUCUUUAUCAAUAGAAGUGCUGAUGGAAAGUUGUAUUAUACCUAAGAAUGGUGAUGUGGGCUUGAAGAUAUUUAUGGAUGAAAAUGAACAUUCUUUACCUUCUGUCUCUGAUGAUAGAAAGAAAAUAGACACUCAUGCAAGUAAUGUUGAGGACUCUUAACUAUUUUUAAUAUGGGAAGUAAAGAAGAUAAGGGUUUUGGCAUGAAUAUGCUGGAAAUAUAUGUAUAAAGACAUGCCUGUUAUGAAGGUUUUCACUCUUGAGGUGAUCUUUCAGUGAUGUGAUACAUGUAUGUGCGCAUACUUAGAACUGUGCAUUGGCAUAACAGUUAAUCCUCCAAGUAGCACAACCUUUUUAUGUGAAGUCUUGAUUGUUUAUAUUAUUGUGACAUAUUCUUAAAUUAGCAGAAAAAACUAUAAACUAUGUUCAAAAAUUGCCUCAUUAAGAUGAGCUAAAGCUUGCAUGAUGGUGAUGUUGGAUUGUAAUGUCUAAAUCAAUUUUGUUAUACUUCAUUUGGGAUGCCAAGAGUCGAGCUCCCCAUUGAACACAUGGAGAUUGAGCCCCCUGUUGAACUCUCAGGGAUCAAGUUAUCAAAUUAGCUUACAAAGGUUAAAGAGGGUAGUGUCCCUUUGUGAAUUUUUUUAUGUGAUAAAUGAUGAGUUUGUCCAUAUUAUAUAUUUCAUCAUUUUAUAUUUUAGGGUUUUAUUUUUUAGAGAGUGCAGAUGCAAUUGAGAAAUGUUUUUCGAAAGCUUUACAAUUGUAACUCUUCUCAUUCAUUUUUAUUAAUAGAUUCUUAAGUGUUGAUACAUUUUGUGGAUAUAGGGAUCACAUUCAUCAUUGAACCACAUUAAAAUCUUGUUUUUUCUUUAUUUUUUGUUUGUAUAUAUGCGUAAUUUGGUUAACAAGUGAAAUUCCCAAAUUAUGGUAAGAUAUCGCUGAAAAUUAUAUUUUCUUAUGGGCGCAAGUCAAAAUUAGGUGUGAAACAAUGGUUGUUAAAGGCACACAAGGCUUUGAGGUGCCACCACUCCCUAACUAUAGUGCUUGGCUAUUCUCCCUAUUUGGUAAUGUGAAUGUGCCAUAUGAUGAGGGAAAUAUGUUGUCACAAGUGGAUGUUGCUAAAAGGAUAAAUGCUAUAGAAACGAAUAUGAUGAAUAAUGGCAUUCAGCACAAUCAUUUAUCAAUGAAGAACUUGGUAUGCCCCUAUUUUAUGUUCCCUGUUUAUUUUUAUUUUCUUCCCCUAUAAAUUUGUACAAUAUUGCAUCAACAAUGAAAUCAUACUAAGAUUAAACUUCUUUCUUUUUUUCUUUUUUCACUUCAAUCUCUUUGAAUAUGCCAAAGAGAUUUCAUUAUUUUUAUCAUAACCAAGUAUAAAAAUAUAGAGAAAGGCUUAUUCAAAAAUGAUAAUGAUAGUUUUUCAUAUGUUUAAUAAUCAAUUAAAUGACAUUUGAACAUAAGACAAUUAAAAUUAAUCUAAUUAAUCAUUAAAGUUAUUUAUGGAUGUAUUAAAAAAAUGUAGAAUAUAUAAAUAUUUUAGGCAUAUAUAUCACAAGGGCAAAUUUGUCUUUAAUAGUUUAGUGUUAUGUACUCCUUUCACAUGAAAGAAUUGAGUUUGACUCCUAACAUUCCUCUUUACUUUUUGCAGGAAGUGUUAACUACAUUUUCCUAGCAAAAUCGAUUUUUCUUAUCUUUUUUCAUAUCAAUAGGGCUCGAGAUCUUAAUAUUUCCCUUAAACUCAUUGAAAAUCAACAAAAUUUCAAUCCAUAACUCAUACUCAAAAUGGUUUACCUGAAUCUUUUUUCAAACAUCUUAAAUGAUUGUUUGAUCAUUGCUUUUAAGUAUGCAACUACCUCUCUUUUUUUUAGGAUAUGUUAUACUUCAUAUUGAUGUUUUACCUCACUUUUAACUCUCUGCUUACCAUGAAUACUUAUCUUUAUACCUUGCACUUAAUCAACAACCAAAUAUUUCUCACUUAUGAGUUUUUGGUUGAACUAACCAUGGCCCACUGCUCUUUCUCAAAGAACUAGGAUGGUUCCCUAAAGAUGUCUUGAGAAUAGUUGAGAUUUAUAUUGGUCUGAUUAUCCAUACCCCCAUUACAUCUUAUGGAUAAUGUUUUUAUGGUUCACUUUGUGAAUUGUCAUUUUGAUGAGAAAAAAAAAAAUUCACCAUGAGGGGAAAUGACGUUAAUCCUUAAAAAACAAUGACAUUCAUAACUAGUAAGAGUGGAGUACAACCUAAUUUCGAUUAAUAGUGACACCAUAGUCUCAAAUUGGAGAAAAAGAUUUGAAUUAGUGAUGGAUAGAUAAACAAAGAUAUAGGCUUCCUUCAAUAGGAAAUAAGAAAUAAUUAUUCUAACUAAUAUUUUAUUCAUAAAUACUAUUUAUAUAUAGAAAAAAAUUAAACAUGGAUUAAGGAGCUAAAAAAUCCUAAUUAUACUUGUUAAAAAGCAUGAUAUAUAUUGUAAGUCUAAAUCUUGCAAGCUUAAACUUUUUAAAAAAUUGAUAGUUUAACAUGAUAUUAGAGUUUGCCAAAAGGUCAAGGUAAUUCAACAAUACUUAAUUAAUUCAUUCUUUGAUUCAUGAUUAAGGAAAAGUCUACAAGAGGAAGACCAUAUUCAUAAAGACCACAUUCAUACAUAUUCAUGAUAUUAGAGUUUGACAAGAGAUCAUGGUAAUUCAACAAUACUUAAUUAAUUCACUCUUUUAUUCAUGAGUAAGGAAAAGUCUACAAGAGAAAGACCAUAUUCAUGUAUAUAAUUCACUACUUUAUUCAUGAUUAAGGAAAAGUUUACAAGAGAAAGACCAUAUUCGUAUAUAUAUAAUAGAAAAUUAUAAACCAUUAAUAUCAUAAAGGUUCCAAGAGAACCUUGUACAUCUAUUGUAAACCAAUAUCAUAAAGGUUUCAAGAGAACCUUGUACAUCUAUCGUCUUAUAUAUGAUUUUGAUAUAUAGUACAGAUAAUUAUAUCAAACUUUGAGUCUCAUCUAUGCUUAUUACAAUCAUUGAUGCUUUUUUGAAAUGUUGAUAUGUAAACCAUUUCCAAAU
rnacentral:lncRNA from 1 species